UUGAGUGAAGCUCUUCCUGGAGA
rnacentral:piRNA from 1 species